rnacentral:rRNA from 1 species
AUUGAACGCUGGCGGCAGGCCUAACACAUGCCAGUCGAACGGUAACAGGAAGAAGCUUGCUUCUUUGCUGACGAGUGGCGGACGGGUGAGUAAUGUCUGGGAAACUGCCUGAUGGAGGGGGAUAACUACUGGAAACGGUAGCUAAUACCGCAUAACGUCGCAAGACCAAAGAGGGGGACCUUCGGGCCUCUUGCCAUCGGAUGUGCCCAGAUGGGAUUAGCUAGUAGGUGGGGUAACGGCUCACCUAGGCGACGAUCCGUAGCUGGUCUGAGAGGAUGACCGGCGACGCUGGAGCUGGGACAGGGGCCAGGCUCCUGCGGGAGGCAGCAGUGGGGAAUGGUGGACAAUGGGCGGAAGCCUGAUGCAGCGGUGCGGCGUGUGUGAAGAAGGCCUUCGGGUUGUAAAGUACUUUCAGCGGGGAGGAAGGGAGUAAGGUUAAUACCUUGGCUCAUUGACGUUACCCGCAGAAGAAGCACCGGCUAACUCCGUG